AUUGAACGCUGGCGGCAGGCCUAACACAUGCAAGUCGAGCGGUUGACGGGAGCUUGCUCCCUGAUUCAGCGGCGGACGGGUGAGUAAUGCCUAGGAAUCUGCUUAUUAGUGGGGGACGACGUUUCGAAAGGAACGCUAAUACCGCAUACGUCCUACGGGAGAAAGCAGGGGACCUUCGUGCCUUGCGCUAAUAGAUGGGCCUAGGUCGGAUUAGCUUGUUGGUGAGGUAAUGGCUCACCAAGGCGACGAUCCGUAACUGGUCUGAGAGGAUGAUCAGUCACACUGGAACUGAGACACGGUCCAGACUCCUACGGGAGGCAGCAGUGGGGAAUAUUGGACAAUGGGCGAAAGCCUGAUCCGGCCAUGCCGCGUGUGUGAAGAAGGUCUUCGGAUUGUAAAGCACUUUAAGUUGGGAGGAAGUGUUGUAGAUUAAUACUCUGCAAUUUUGACGUUACCGACAGAAUAAGCACCGGCUAACUCUGUGCCAGCAGCCGCGGUAA
rnacentral:rRNA from 1 species